rnacentral:lncRNA from 1 species
UUUAAAUAACAACAAAUGCAAGUAUCAUAGAUCCUGCAUAUUUUGAGCAAAGUGAAACAACCACGCGCGCUGAGUAUGGCGUCCAGCAGUGUACUGCUCAAACGAACGAAGAUAAGGAAGAUGUAGUAUGAUAACUUAUAUUAACGAUUGUUGAAUUAGUCGGAUUCCUUUCAUCAGAAAUGAACGGAGAAAAGUUGUACUUAUGAAAGUUACCAACAUGAAGAUAGAAUGCUGCGCCGCAAUCGUCGUCCAAUAUCGAGCAAAAACGACGAACGUGAGAGAGAAUCAUUUUAGUCGCCGAG